GGGAAGAAUUGUAGUGUAUGAUACUUGCGGGUUGGGAAGAAAAUGCAACAAAAUAAAAAUCAACAAGGAAAAAAAAAGAGUGCUCUGGUGUCUGCGCAGGAAGGUAAUGACAACCCCAUCGCUGAUAUGCUGGGAGCUGCAUCUGUAACAACAAAUACCUCUCAUGAUGUGUAGAUUGGUGUUCCUAUGACCAGCAUAAGGCUUGAUUGAUAGGCAUGGGAUGGUUGAAAAAAACAGAGGCGAGGUAGCUCUGCCAAGUGCUCGACCUGUUGUUCCCGAAAUGACUGCGGAGUGCGGAGAAGCUAACAGUUCUGGAACAUGGGCUCUCUGACAUGCAUUGAGUAAAAUCUCAAGUAAUGGAGUCUAUGACCCUCAUGUCAACUCCCACAAACUACACCAGAGCUUUUUUAAAUUUCGCAUAUUAAUGAAUUAUGACUCAAAACUCAUUACUACCGUCCGUCAUGUUAGUGUAUGUGUUUUGUUUUCAAAAUUUUGUAUCUAAUCAACUAAGCUCUGUUUUUCAAAAAAAAAAUUUAGAACAUGUUUAAAAUUAGUCUUCGGAUUAAUAGAAUAACUUACAUCCCAUUAGAUCAAUACGAAUGCUCAUCCCAGUAAUAAUCUCAUUUUCCUCCUCAGUACCUAUCACAAUCACCAAAAUCUUCUCCACCAACAAAGUUUACAGCUAAUACGUAAUAGGCAAAUAACCUCCUAAAUUGUAUAUGACUUAUUAUCUUCAAACCAAAUUUCAUUUCAAUACAACUACACAUUAUUAAACAAUAUAGCUCAACUUCAAAGAUGUAACCACAUUUACCAUCAUAUAAUUUCCCUUCUCCAGAACUAAGCCAGUUUCCGGUGAGUUCCAAUUACUAAAUAAAUAAACUAAACUUUAACACAAUUAGUGAGUUAAUUUACAGUAUAAACAAUAAUAUUUAACACUCAAAUAUGUAAUAAAUUAGAUUAGUAGUAAAAUAUAUUCAAAAGAUAUACAGCCUCUGUUUUUUGAAAAAAUAUAAGUUUUAAUAUUUUUCAUACAUAUUAAAAUAUAUUAAAUAUUAAUUAUCUAUGCAUAAACUUUAUAAUUAAAUAUAUCUCAAAAAUUUAACCAAUAAAAUUACAUUUUAUAUUAUGUUUUAAAUUAAUGUUUAGUUAAUUUCUAACUCAUACACAUUACAUCUAUAAUUUGAAAUAAAGAACGCACAAAAAACUAUGAGUUCUAACAUUUCAAAUUUACUAGACAAAGAAUAUAAUAUAAAUAGUUUUAAAUUUUUAUAAUAAAUUCUAAUGUAUAUAUGUACAUUUAUAUUCAAAUAAAAACUGUAAUAGAAAAAUAAUUAAAUUAUAGAACAAAAAAUCCCGGGCGUAGCCCGGACAAACAACUAGUACAAAUAAAUGAGGAACAUCUUUUUCUCCAAAAAUGAGAUGCAUUAGAAAAUGGGAAAAUACAGAUUUCAAUACUAUAAGGCAACCAAUUAAUAAAAGAAUAAAAGAGAAAAUUGGAAAAAAUAGACACUUUUAACUAAGAUUUGUCCCAAUAGAAUUUGUAGAAGAUUAUUUAGGUAACUAAGAUUUAUAUUCUCUUUAAUACCAUUAUAUCCUUCAAUUAACUUAAUUAAUCUUAAUAUUUUGUAAUUGAUUAAGUUUUAUUAAAAAGGGAAAAAUAAAAACAGAAAAAAGAAUAUUAAUAGAAAUCCACGAAAGAGUUAAAACAAUUCGUUUAACCCUAAUUUCCUUUUCCCUUUCAUCUUCUUCUCCAACGUACCUUCAACCCCUAUCAAUGGUGAUUUAAGGUGAGCAGAGAAUACUUGUUUCUUUAUCGGAAAUCAUCAAUUAUUUCGUCUCUAAUCUCGUUUUCGUCUUUCCUCCUUUUUAUUUCGUCUCUAAUGGUGAUUUGUUCUCUACGAUUUCGUCAGACAGUCUCUUCUUUCUCUUCGCUUCACACUCUGUAUCAUCAGUAGAUAGUGAAUGUGUUUUUAUGUUACAGUAUGAGUUAUUUUGGUUCUAAUGAAAUUGAUGAUUGUUGUUUAGGUCAUGUCGGUGAUGAUAUGUUACAGUCACGUCUUUACCCACCUCCUCUGUUGUGAUUAUUCGUUUUGGCCAAAGAUUGAGCUUAUAUUUUGGUAUUAGCUCAGUGAUUCUCGAGGGGCUAUCUCUUUUAUUAGGAGUUACCUUCUAAUCAAGGUUCUUCUGUCUAUAUGUUCAUUGCUGACAGAUCCAAACCCUGAUGAUCCUUUGGUUCCAGAAAUAGCUCACACCUACAAGACAGACCGGUGUCAAGUACGAGAGCACUGCCCGAUCGUGGACCCAGAAGUAUGCAAUGGGACAAUGAUGAUUGUCAAUAAUAAUCUCACAAGUACAUUGCGCAUUGUCUAAGAAUAUGAGAAAUAAGAUCGAAAAAAACUGAAUGUGGUGUUUGCUUGGUUGCUUUAUUAGUUCUAUCAUCUUAAUCAGUGUGUUGGUGUACAUGAGCUUUAUAUUGAGACAUUUUGAGAACUUGCAAUGCUUUAAAGCCAAUAAUUGGCUAUUAUGAUUAUGAUGAGUCAGUAUUAACGACA